rnacentral:rRNA from 1 species
UCGUAGUCCGGAUUGGAGUCUGCAACUCGACUCCAUGAAGUCGGAAUCGCUAGUAAUCGUGGAUCAGAAUGCCACGGUGAAUACGUUCCCGGGCCUUGUACACACCGCCCGUCACACCAUGGGAGUGGGCUGCAAAAGAAGUAGGUAGUUUAACCUUCGGGGGGACGCUUACCACUUUGUGGUUCAUGACUGGGGUGAAGUCGUAACAAGGUAGCGCUAGGGGAACCUGGCGCUGGAUCACCUCCUUAWACGAUGAU